rnacentral:rRNA from 1 species
UAGGGAAUCUUCGGCAAUGGGGGCAACCCCGACCGAGCAACGCCGCGUGAGUGAAGAAGGUUUCGGAUCGUAAAGCUCUGUUGUAAGAGAAGAACGUGUGUGAGAGUGGAAAGUUCACACAGUGACGGUAACUUACCAGAAAGGGACGGCUAACUACGUGCCAG